rnacentral:rRNA from 1 species
UACGUAGGGUGCGAGCGUUGUCCGGAAUUAUUGGGCGUAAAGGGCUCGUAGGCGGUCUGUCGCGUCGGGAGUGAAAACUCAGGGCUUAACCCUGAGCCUGCUCCGAUACGGGCAGACUAGAGGUAUGCAGGGGAGAACGGAAUUCCUGGUGUAGCGGUGGAAUGCGCAGAUAUCAGGAGGAACACCAAUAGCGAAGGCAGCUCGCUGGGACGUUACUGACACUGAGGCGCGAAAGCGUGGGGAGCGAACAGG